UAGCCUACGGGAGGCAGCAGUGAGGAAUAUUGGUCAAUGGGCGCGAGUCUGAACCAGCCAAGUCGCGUGAGGGAAGACGGUCCUAUGGAUUGUAAACCUCUUUUGUCGGGGAGCAAAAGACGCCACGCGUGGCGUUCCGAGAGUACCCGAGGAAAAAGCAUCGGCUAACUCCGUGCCAGCAGCCGCGGUAAUACGGAGGAUGCGAGCGUUAUCCGGAUUUAUUGGUUUUAAAGGGUGCGCAGGCGUAAGAUCAAGGCAGCGGUAAAAUUGAGA
rnacentral:rRNA from 1 species